AAUUUACCACAAGGUACUUGCUAGAAUAUCGUCAUCAAUUUGCCACAAAGUACCUACCAAAAUAGCGUCAUCAACUUACCAAAAAGGUAUUUACCAAAAUAGCUCAUCAGUUUACCACAAAGGUACAAGAGUAGCGUCAUCAGUUUACAACAAUGGUAUUUACCAGACUGUUGUCAUCAAUUUACCAGUCUUUUGGAAGUUCUUGGGUUCAGAAUCAGAGUCCAUUUCAGAGAAAAAAGAUUACUUUUUACAAUUUAGUCUCUUAUUCACAGUUCAAAGCGAAACAAUAUAUCUUUCUUUGCCAAAUUGACUACUACAAAUGAUUACAUCAACAGUAAAUAAUAUGAGAAAUUUACAGAGCUUUCUUAACACCUCAGAAUCUGUAAGAACAAUUAUCUACUCAAAGUGAACCUACCUAUCACUAGCUUACUGGCACCAGUAGAUAACUAGAUAACUCUUUGGUCCCAUUGACUAUAUCAGCACAUUUGACCAACAGGUCUGAAAAAUCAAUUGAAUUUGGCUCCGCAACAGAAACAGAGAAAAACAUAGUUGACACCUCGUUGGCAGCAUCUUUGACGCACAAGAUCAAGAACCCCCUCCAUUGUGAGAUCCAAUAAGUGCAUGUUGCUAAUCAGAUUUUUGACACAAACGAUUUUCAUGGAAGGCUGUCAAAAAUGGGGUUCUUGAGCGUAUGACACAAGACCAGCUGAUCUGCACAAAAGAAACGAAUUCAUUGUGAUUUUAAUUGAAGUCGGCCAAUAUUUCAGUUAAAAAUUUUGAUAAAGCCUAUCAGUAACAGAUUUUCCGUCGAUCCCUGUCGGGUAUGGACACGAGCCCACAAGCAAGCGAGGUGACCGAGCGAAGCCAGAGUGUCAUUACGGCAAUUAACUAGCCGAGAGGCAGACCAGUCCUUCCAUCUGAUCAUGCUGGUAGGCACCAUGAUGGUGGAGAGAAGGCACAAGGGAGCUGGAGCACUACCAAUCAGUGCUGAGUAGGCUGCUCUCUGUACAGAUGGUACCCAGAAAUUCGCAAGAGGCAUCAUCACCUGUAGUAAUUUUUUUAAAAAUAAGAACAUAGUAAAUAAUAUGAUCAUUUAGCAAGCCCGAAAAGCUGGAACUGCAUUCUUGAAUUAAAAACAGGCAUGCUGGAAAGAGCCACAGUUAUGUCCAAAUUUAUAAUAUGACAGGUGAGAACUGGAGAUACUAAGGAAACAAAUUGUGAUAAUCAUAAGACUGCGGUAACAAAAUUACCAGAGACAGAUCUCUGGCUUGUCAAUGACAUACUGAUAGGAGAUAAGCAUUAUUUCUGUGUAAUGAUGUGAAUACACUAAUCCAUUGAUAAGUAGACUAGAACUAUAAGGAAAUUUACUAGCAGGAAAUUGUUAGUCAGAAACAAGUUAGUUGAGUGGCAGUACUGAUAAAUAGACAGUAGGUUAUAUGUUUAUUUUGAUGCAAAUAAUCAGCCAUGUAGAUAAGAUCAAGGCCUCUGUGUGCCCCAAGUCCAGCAAGAACCUGCUUCUUAUUGUCAAUACAUGUUGAACUAGUGCAUGCAAGCUAUGGUAAAUGUUCAGGCAGUUAGCUACCAAAUUUUAAUGUAAAAAUUGCAGUAACACAAUGUUGAUUGAAAUAAUUUUUUUUACUAUGAUUUAUGAGAAAAAAACAUUCUGAUAAGUUAUUAACAGGAAACCAUGAAUUUGCCAUAACAUUGACAAGGUACUUACCAGAAUAGCGUCAUCAAUUUACCACAAAGUACCUACCGGAAUAUCGUCAUCAACUUACCAAAAAGGUAUUUACAAAAAUAGUGUCAUGAAUUUACCAGAGGUCUUUACAAAUGUAGCGUCAUCAGUUUAUGACAAUGGUAGUUACUAGACACUAUUGUAAUCAAUUUACCAGUUUGUUUAAGUUCUUUCUUUCAGAAUCAGAGUCCAUAUUAUAGGAAAAGAUUACUUUUACAAUUUAGUCUCUUAUACACAGUUCAAAGCCAAAUAAUAUAUAAUAUAUCUUUCUUACCAAAUUGAGUAGACUACAAAUGACAGUACAUGUACAUCAACAGUAAAUAAUAUGAGAAAUUUAUAUAGCUUUCUUAAUACUUUGAAAUAUGUAAGAAUAACUUUCUACUCAAAGCAAAUCCAUCACUAGCUAAUUGGCACCAGUAGAUAAGUCUUGCUCCCAUUGACUAUAUCAGAAAAAAGAUUUGACAGAACAAAGAAUUUCAUCUGAGGGCUGUCAAAAAUGGGAUUCUUGAGCGUACGAGCAAAGACCUGCAUGACGCAGCCUUCAACCUCAUCUGUAGUUCAGGUUUGAACUCUUUUCUUGCUCCCGCUGCAGACUUGCACAGAGAAACGAAUGAAC
rnacentral:lncRNA from 1 species